AGAAUCGAUACACACAGCUAGCUGCGCACACAAAUCGCCAGAAGUAAAUAACAAAACGCAUCUAAACAGCAAAAAAUGAGUUCCCCAACGAGUAAGAAUGCUAGUGAAACGAACAAUAGUAGCAACAAGCCAAAGAAGUCGGCCAAAACGAAUUCCAAUGGCAAGGGCGGCACCAUGGACACGCGCGGAGAAUUGGCGGAUCUAAUCAAGAAGAAGGCAGAAACUUCGGAACAACUGGCCAACCUAGAGCGACAGAUUUACGCCUUCGAGGGCUCCUACCUGGAGGACACACAGCUCUGUGGCAACAUCAUACGCGGCUGGGAGCGCUACCUCACCUCCAACAAGGCCACCAACUCGAAGGCGGACAAACGCAAUCGCAAAUUCAAAGAUGCUGAGCGCCUCUUCUCCAAGUCCAGCAUUACCUCAAUGGCCAUAUGCAAUCCUGAGCGCGCCAGCGAAUCGGAUUCCAUAACGAAUGAAGACUCCAGCGACAAUCAGAUCUCAAUUAACCAGAACACAACAACUGCUCACGAUGGGGCUACAUCAAUUAAGACGCAGGAUGAAAAGGGUAAGGCGUGGCAAGACGAGGUGGGCGAGAUCAGUGUGACGGAUUGAAGAUGAUGAGCAAGAAGUUUGAACGUGUGCUGUGAUAUGUGUCGGUGCUUUAACUGAAUGUCAAGAAAAUUGAUGAAGCCUUUAUAACUAUAAGUUAACUUAAGAAGUGAACUAACAGAUUCGCCGUCCCAUCGAAACGAGUCGGGAAGCGUUGUCGGCUCAAGCAGCAGCAACAAGGAUCUACCCGGCACGCCCACCAC